AUCGCAUUGUCAUAAUGGCUUGCGUUACUGGAGUAGGAUGAUGUUACACUGAUCUGAAGUCAGUUUUGCUUUGUUCCCCCAUAAUGGUUAAGGUAAGGCAUCGGGGAGGGUGAGUUGAUCCUAGAUACGUGCCCGAAGGGGGUAACUUCUGUCUGGAGCGGCGUAUUACAAAGCGGUUUUAUGGGCCCUUAGCACUGAUCCUAGAUCUCUACCUAAGGCUAACUUCUAUUCCAAAGUUUUAUGGCAGCUGACACAAUGCAAGCGGGAGCCACGAUUAAUGAUGCAGGAGGGUCUGGUUAGGGAGGGCCACUAAUCAUGCAAGUUUAUGGUGGGAUUAAAAGGAAAGAUGGACCCCCUCUCUAAAUUGUGUGUGGGUGUGUGGAGCUAAUGAUAUAAACUGGAGGCUCUAUGGGCCUCUGUGUAGUUAACAUUUCAUAUAGUAUGUAGGUAGACAAUACAUCCCUCCCUCCCUCUAGCAUCCGACUGUGUGUACUUGUAACAGGGUUGGUUAUGUUUCCACUUGCCUCUAAAGAAAUGUGUAUUUAAUGUUCAAGCAUUCUUAUUGGUUAGUUCAACUCUGAUAACAAUAAGGUGUGUUGUGAUUGGCCCCGCUUGCAGAUAGGGGGAGAUCGCGAACGUCAGGUCUCCCCAUUAUGAAAAUGUGAUGCAAGUGGUAGGUCACGUUCUGAAUACUGUUUUCUAUGUUCUAUUGUGUACAAGUUUGCUGUACGUUACUGAUUUAUACAUCUGUGGGUACCUGUUAGGGAUUGAGGGGCUUUCUGGGAUGUGCUUUGGCAUAUGAUUGCUGUAAAUAAGUGUGUUAGCUAGCAUACACCGAUGUAAUGGUCACAUAAGCCCACUGCUAACACAGUUGUCCUCAUGCUACAGAUUUUGCCAUCGACAGCCAUCAAUACCGUUAAGCCCUGCACAACUAACGUGCUGUUUGCCAUUUAACAACAGGUAUUUACACAUGUUAUAUUUUGUAUUGUAUUUUUGUAUUUUGUUCGCCCAGUAUGAAAAUGUGAUGCAAGGGGUUUUGCCAUCGACAGCCAUCAAUACCGUUAAGCCCUGCACAACUAACGUGCUGUUUCCCAUUUAACAACAGAAAUAAAUGCUCAACUGGGACCACUGGCCGAAGUGAUUUAUUUUGAGAAAACACAACGCAUGGAGAGUACAUUAUACAUCUGUUACACUGGUGCCGUGACCCGGAUCACUGGUUGCUGCGGAAAAGGAGGAAGGUCAAAAGGGGGUGAUUCACAGGGUGGAGGUGACAGAGGAGGUAGAACUGAACUGGCCUCGUGUUUUGUGGGUGAGUGUGUUGAAGCUGAGACCAACAAGAGGCACGCUAGAGGUGCGAGCCACAAGGCCCUAACCAAGCCUGACCCAGAUGAGUGCAAUGCUGUUGCUGAAGUGACUGGAAUUCGAACGGCAUUGACCCCAAUGACACAAUUGUGAACGGACUGUGGUCCACGCUGUAGGAACACUAGCCGCUUGAGGCGGAUCAAGUAGAGUCACAUAGAGGACAAAGAGGAGCAGCAAGGAGAAGAGGAGAUGGGAUCCUGAGGGAGCUGGAUGGAUUACAGUCAUGUUAACAAAUAAUAAAACCAGGGUUGAAUUCUCUUCAUUUAGCAGAGAAAGUUACUUUAUUUCAGCAUCACACAUACAGCAAGACAUAUAGCAAAAACUGUGUUAUAACUGUUUUCCUUCUGAGAUUUCCCUCAACUGUAAUUGUUCAAAUACGAAAUGUUAAUUUUCAGUAACACAUCAAUGUUAUGUGGUGUCAGUGAUUUGUUAAUUUUUUUUCCCCUCCAAAGCACUUGUGGGUUUAGAAAAUGUGUGUCACGUUGGCCCAUUGUUUUUUGUUUUUUUUGUCGCUCUGGGCACGAAACCUUGGUUUGUUAAGCUUCAUCUCGUUGUCUCAGAUGGAAUAAUAAUAUAAUUCCCUGACAUUUAAGUCGGUACACUUUGUGUGCAUCUUUUUGUGCUUCGUUUAGUUAAACACUUCCAUAAAAUGCCAUCUCAGGACAAGACAAGACAGAAUAGAAAAUAAUUCCAGGACAAUCUCAUUACAAUUGGCUCGUCUUGAGUUUUCCCAACCGCUUCAUUCUUUUUUUUCAUGACCUCAUUCACCCCUCAUUUUCUCUCUCACUCUCUUCCAAUAGCCAACAAAUCCACGUUUUUGUCCGUUUCUCCGUUGUUCUUUCUCCACAGGUUGAUGGUUUUAAAAAGGAAAAUCGUCAUCAUCGCUGCAAUGACCUGCAUUCAUUUGCA